rnacentral:rRNA from 1 species
AGUGUGUGUGUUAGUGGAAGCGUCUGGAAAGGCGCGCGAUACAGGGUGACAGCCCCGUACACAAAAAUGCACAUACUGUGAGCUCGAUGAGUAGGGCGGGACACGUGGUAUCCUGUCUGAAUAUGGGGGGACCAUCCUCCAAGGCUAAAUACUCCUGACUGACCGAUAGUGAACCAGUACCGUGAGGGAAAGGCGAAAAGAACCCCGGCGAGGGGAGUGAAAAAGAACCUGAAACCGUGUACGUACAAGCAGUGGGAGCCUCUUUAUGGGGUGACUGCGUACCUUUUGUAUAAUGGGUCAGCGACUUAUAUUCUGUAGCAAGGUUAACCGAAUAGGGGAGCCGAAGGGAAACCGAGUCUUAACUGGGCGUUAAGUUGCAGGGUAUAGACCCGAAACCCGGUGAUCUAGCCAUGGGCAGGUUGAAGGUUGGGUAACACUAACUGGAGGACCGAACCGACUAAUGUUGAAAAAUUAGCGGAUGACUUGUGGCUGGGGGUGAAAGGCCAAUCAAACCGGGAGAUAGCUGGUUCUCCCCGAAAGCUAUUUAGGUAGCGCCUCGUGAAUUCAUCUCCGGGGGUAGAGCACUGUUUCGGCAAGGGGGUCAUCCCGACUUACCAACCCGAUGCAAACUGCGAAUACCGGAGAAUGUUAUCACGGGAGACACACGGCGGGUGCUAACGUCCGUCGUGAAGAGGGAAACAACCCAGACCGCCAGCUAAGGUCCCAAAGUCAUGGUUAAGUGGGAAACGAUGUGGGAAGGCCCAGACAGCCAGGAUGUUGGCUUAGAAGCAGCCAUCAUUUAAAGAAAGCGUAAUAGCUCACUGGUCGAGUCGGCCUGCGCGGAAGAUGUAACGGGGCUAAACCAUGCACCGAAGCUGCGGCAGCGACACUAUGUGUUGUUGGGUA